UGCAAGUCGAACGCGAAAGUUUCCUUCGGGGAACAAGUAGAGUGGCGCACGGGUGAGUAACACGUAGGUAAUCUACCUUUGGAUGGGGAAUAACAACCGGAAACGGUUGCUAAUACCGCAUAAUGCAGCGGCACCUAAUGGUGACAGUUGUUAAAGCGGGGGAUCGAAAGACCUCGCGUCUGAAGAGGAGCCUGCGGCGGAUUAGCUAGUUGGUAAGGUAACGGCUUACCAAGGCAAUGAUCCGUAGCCGGCCUGAGAGGGCGGUCGGCCACACUGACACUGACAUACGGGUCAGACUCCUACGGGAGGCAGCAGUCGGGAAUUUUGGGCAAUGGGCGAAAGCCUGACCCAGCAACGCCGCGUGAAGGAUGAAAUCCCUCGGGAUGUAAACUUCGCAAGAACGGGAAGAAUAAGUAAGGGUUAACACCUCUUACGAUGACGGUACUGUUUGUAAGCUCCGGCUAACUCCGUGCCAGCAGCCGCGGUAAUACGGGGGGAGCAAGCGUUGUUCGGAUUUACUGGGCGUAAAGGGCGCGUAGGCGGCCACCGCAAGUCGGUUGUGAAAUCUCUGGGCUUAACCCAGAAAGGUCAACCGAUACUGCGGGGCUAGAGUGCAGAAGGGGCAACUGGAAUUCUCGGUGUAGCGGUGAAAUGCGUAGAUAUCGAGAGGAACACCUGCGGCGAAGGCGGGUUGCUGGGCUGACACUGACGCUGAAGUGCGAAAGCUAGGGGAGCGAACGGGAUUAGAUACCCCCGGUAGUCCUAGCCUUAAACGAUGAAUGCUUGGGUGUCUGGGGUUUUAUAGUCCCCGGGUGCCGUCGCUAACGCUUUAAGCAUCCCCCC
rnacentral:rRNA from 1 species